rnacentral:rRNA from 1 species
CAGUCGCCACGGGAAUACGGAGGGUGCAAGCGUUAAUCGGAAUUACUGGGCGUAAAGCGUGUGUAGGUGGUUGUUUAAGUCUGUCGUGAAAGCCCUGGGCUCAACCUGGGAAUUGCGAUGGAUACUGGGCGACUAGAGUGCGGUAGAGGAUAGUGGAAUUUCCGGUGUAGCAGUGAAAUGCGUAGAGAUCGGAAGGAACAUCUGUGGCGAAGGCGACUAUCUGGGCCAACACUGACACUGAGACACGAAAGCGUGGGGAGCAAACAGGAUUAGAUACCCCGGUAGUCCCUGUCUCUUAUAC